AUAGAUCCCAGGGAAGGACUCCCCAGCAUACUUGUUGUGGCUGCUGGGAGCAAAAAUGAUAUGUCUGUUGAGAAUGAGAAAAAGGACAGUAUCACAAAAAACACAUCAAGUGAAUGCAAGAUGUCUGAGGCUAGGACGAGCUGAUUACAAGCGUUUCUCUUGGAAAAUGAUACAAUUUUGGACAUCUGGAGAGAGCUGCAAGUUAGAAGGGCCACUGUUUUGACAAGCAGCAAGAAACCAGCCUUGAGGAAUAUUCAUACAGAAGUUAUUAAAAGACCAAGUAUUGUA